CGGGGUGUGGCUCAGCUUGGCUAGAGCGCUACGUUCGGGACGUAGAGGUCGGUGGUUCAAAUCCACUCGCCCCGACCA
rnacentral:tRNA from 2 species